GGGGGGGGGGGGGGGGGGGGGGGGGGGGCGGCUAGCCGCCCGCUUCUGUGGAAAAAGACUAUUUUAAGUGUCAUAAUUAAGUUUAGAAGCCUUGUUUGGGCUCAUUCACUGCUCGAAAUAAAAAGGACUGGCUGCUUUUAGACCCUUUCUGAAGGGGUUGGCUAAGCGCCUUUGCACGUUCACUUGGAGAAGAAUGUUUUCUUUUCUGGUUUAAUAUUAGAAACUAUAUUUUUACUUGUUUAAACCGGAUUUGAUUUUUUGGAGAUUUUUUUUCCUCUCUCCCCCCCCCCCCUUGCUAUCGCUCAAGGGGGGGGCCCCCCCCCCCCUUGCUAUCGCUCAAAUCUUUGUUCAUUGUUCAUUGACUGUGGAAGGCUGCUUAAAUGUACGGAGAGAGGGGGGAGGCCCCCUCGGUGGUUUGAUGUUGAAAUAGUAAACCUGAAUGAGGAGGGUGGCUGGAAAAGUGGACAUUGCAGCUUUAAUUAACUUCAAGAUGCUUCAGCGAGGACCAGAGCGUAGUAGUGACGUUGCCUCAUAAAUCUGUCCAGUACAGUGCGUUGCAUUGAACUAUUACAGUAUCACCAUCAUAUUGAAUAUUCACUACCUAUCCGGGAGCAGAUUUGCAUAAUUGGAUCUUUUUUAAAUGAAACUUGUUUGCAAAAACCCAAACAAAACCAAAAAAACAAAAGCCCAAGUGAAAACCGCGGCGAUCUGCAUGAUUAUAAAGGGUUCAAACAUAUCCGAAAAAACAUGCACUAGAAGAGAGUCUCGGUACAGUUGCUAAACCCUGCGACUGGGCGCACUUUCUCAUGUCUGCUCUGUCUUCAGAUUUUGCUCCUGACUCUGAAUUUCUAUCCCUGCAGGUAAAUGAGAUUUAAUAUGAUGGGGUUUUUAAAGUGUCAGUGACUUAAACUUUGUUUUCGUGUGCUGUUACGAUGAUGACAAUUAACAACUGCAGAUGUAGGAAAGGUCAGCCUCUCUGUCACUUUUGCAGGGAAUGAACGUGAAGUAUUUGCAGGCUAAAGCUAUGUUUUCCUGAUUCCUGAAGAUAAAAGUUACUGUGAUGGAAACACUGUAUUAAAAUACUUUUGAUAAAUUGACUAUGUCUUUAUUAAUGGAAAAGAAGAAAAAAGAAUUGUUCUACGGGCUUUUUGACUUCUGAACAUAUUUAAGCUCUAAUACUCAGCAAGUUGUCUGGCACUGUCUUCACUGUAGACUUUUAUAUAAUGAAGAGGCUGAUUGUCAUAUUUUUGUCCAUGCCAGAGGCCAAUAACCCAACCCAUUCAUUAUCAGAAGAGAGUAGCCUGUAAGUUGCAACAUCAGUACCACUGUUUUGCUUGCAGCAAUGAAGACAGUGCUGAGAUCAGAAAUUGUGAUCUUCAGUACAGAAAGCUGACACAUUAGGUUGUUUACCCACCAUGGAGCCUUAGGUGACCAAAGAGAUUUGCAUUAGAACAGAUGUAGAAAAUCCACUAGUCCAUUAAAAUGGGCUGCGCUUAUUCCCUGGGAAGCACAAGUUUCAUCAAGUGUAGGGAAAUCAGUAACAAGUAAUUUUUCCAAAUGUUGAUUUUUGCUUAAAGUUGACUUUGAAUUGCACAGGUGUUUUUAGAGUGCCUUGACUAAAAAAAAAAAAAAAAACAAAAAAAAAACCCCAAAACAUGAUUUAUAUGAAUUUUAUGAAAGUGGGAACUAAAGCCAUCGAUAGAUUUAUUUUUCUAGUUUGAGAGUGGACAAUUAAAGACUUUCAAUAUUCUUAUUUAGUGUACUUUAAUAAGAUGGUAAGCAAAUCUAAAUUUUAAUCUCUGAAUUUCUCUCAGAUACCUGAAGAGAUAUAUAUUGGCUCUUCAGAAUGCUAAAACCAGUAUGAUCUUGAAAAACUAUUUUUCUGUCCUCUCUUUCAUACCUUGCAUUUCCCUGAGUUGCAAGCAAUUUGGAUUCAGGGAAAGACAGCACAGACGAAAAAAUAGAAUACAUACUCUUUCUUUUAUAGAAACAUGAAUAAACUUAUUUCUGGCAACUGUAGAUGGAAAUCCAAAUUUCUCUAGUGGAGAAACUCCAGACACAGAUAUUCGUGGAAGAGGAAAAAAAGGAUGAGCUACUGAAAGAAAAUAUGUAAAAGUAAAAUAAUUCUGAUGCUUAACUGGCUUGAUCUCGGGGUUAUUGUACAGCUGUGUGGUUCUAACUUCCAGUUGUGUGGCCAAAUGCGGAGUAUGAACUCUCUGGGACCAAGCCACUGAUCAGAAUCUGCCCUUGGCUAGAAACAGGAGAAAAUUGUAAUGAUCCGAUGGAUGUUUAACGGGAAAGAGCCGAGGAGCGUCUGUCUAAAUCGGAGUGGAUCACAAUAACUGCUAUGACAUUUUCACUCGGAUUGGCAGGUUAAGCAGCAAAGCCAAGCACUGAGGGAGAGAUUUGAAGCAUCUUUUCAGGGGCAGCAGAGAUCCAGAUCAGGAAAGAGGUGGGGGAAUAGGGUAGCAAGGGAGGAUUUGGGUUGCCUCUGCCCAACUGUACCAAAGCUGUCACUAAAUAAGCUCCCAGAAGUAGGAUUCUCCCAGUAUUCUGAAUUUGGCACCUUUCCCUUAAAUUUAAAUUUGCUCUAAUUUUCAGGUGCAUCUCACUAGAUAACCAGAUGCAUCAAAAAGGCAAAAGAAUUAUAGAGGAGUAAUUAUAAUUAGCUUAGUUGUCUGUGUUUUUAAAAAAUUGUAAGAUGGGUCCUUGAAAGUAUUUUGAAGUCACUAUUUUUUACAGUUCUUAAUCUAAAUACUCCAUGUGAGAUUGUUUUCUAAAGAGAUGGGUUCAUCGGGUCAAGUUGAACUAUAUUAAAGACAAACAAUUUUGUUAUAAUCUGACUGUCUUUUAAACACAGAUGAGGAAAACAGAACUAAAAUAGCCACAGGAGCCUCGGUAUCUGAUCUUUCCUCCAUUGUGCAUUGCAGUAUUUGAGAUUGCCAUAGCCAAAAGCAGAAUUAGGUAAUUCUUUACAAGUAUUUGCCAUGUUAUGAAAAAAGCAGCGCUGCUGAUCCUGGUAGGACAUUAGCAGACAGAUCUGCA
rnacentral:lncRNA from 1 species